AUGUGGAAUGAUGAGCUCAAAGUUUCUGUUCAUACCGCCUCCUUUCGCUAUAUUCUCACUAAUGUAGUUCAUCUUGCUUCGGGUGUUAACUUUUGUUUGAUUUGUAUAUAUGGUGACCCCUACCAUAGGCAGACUAGUACUAUUUGGAGUCAGGUUUCUGCUUUUGUGUACGAUAACUUAGGAAAACCCAUGAUGUGUAUGGGAGACCUGAACGACAUCUUGUAUGAUACAGAUGGUUGUAAUGGUAUGGUUAAUUAUUAUCGUAUGUCUGCUUUUCGUUCUCUAGUUAAAAAUUGUGGUUUCUUUGACAUUGGCUUCAGUGGCCCUGCGUACACUUGGCGUAACAAGCAGCAUACGUCUAAACCUAUUUAUAGAUGCCUACAUCAUUGUCUAGUUAACUCUGAUUGGUGUGUGCACUAUCCAAACACUAAAGUUCUCAAUUUGCCUAUUAUUCUCAGUGACCAUGCUCCCAUUCUAGUUUCUACCGAUGGUAAUUUUGCUAAGCCACGUCAACCGUUUAAGUUUGAAAAUUGGUGGUUACUUGAGAAAGACUUUAGUAGCUUUGCAAAUCUACCUGGAAUAAUUCUACAGCCCUUUGUUUUGCAGCAAAGACCUCUUAUUUAG
rnacentral:rRNA from 1 species